rnacentral:rRNA from 1 species
CCUACGGGUGGCAGCAGUGGGGAAUAUUGGACAAUGGGCGAAAGCCUGAUCCAGCCAUGCCGCGUGUGUGAAGAAGGCCUUCGGGUUGUAAAGCACUUUCAGUGGGGAAGAAAGCCUUGGGGCUAAUACCCUCGAGGAAGGACAUCACCCACAGAAGAAGCACCGGCUAACUCCGUGCCAGCAGCCGCGGUAAUACGGAGGGUGCGAGCGUUAAUCGGAAUUACUGGGCGUAAAGCGCGCGUAGGCGGUCUGAUAAGCCGGUUGUGAAAGCCCCGGGCUCAACCUGGGAACAGCAUCCGGAACUGUCAGGCUAGAGUGCAGGAGAGGAAGGUAGAAUUCCCGGUGUAGCGGUGAAAUGCGUAGAGAUCGGGAGGAAUACCAGUGGCGAAGGCGGCCUUCUGGACUGACACUGACGCUGAGGUGCGAAAGCGUGGGUAGCAAACAGGAUUAAUACCCUGGUAGUC